GACGAACGCUGGCGGCGUGCUUAACACAUGCAAGUCGAACGGAAAGGCCCUGCUUUUGUGGGGUUCUCGAUUGGCGAACGGGUGAGUAACACGUGAGUAACCUGCCCUUGACUUUGGGAUAACUUCAGGAAACUGGGGCUAAUACCGGAUAGGAGCUCCUGCUGCAUGGUGGGGGUUGGAAAGUUUCGGCGGUUGGGGUUGGACUCGCGGCUUAUCCGCUUGUUGGUGGGGUAGGGGCUUACCAAGGCUUUGACGGGUAGCCGGCCUGAGAGGGUGACCGGCCACAAUGGGACUGAGGUACGGAGCAGACUCCUACGGGAGGCAGCAGUCGAGAAUAUUGCACAGUGGGCGGGAGCCUGAUGCAGAGACGCCGGGUGCGGGAUGACGGCUUUCGGGUUGUAAACCGCUUUCGCCUGUGACGAAGCGUGAGUGACGGUAAUGGGUAAAGAAGCACCGGCUAACUACGUG
rnacentral:rRNA from 1 species